rnacentral:rRNA from 1 species
AGUCAAUAGAUACCCCGGGUAGUCCACGCCGUAAACGAUGAUGACUAGCUGUCGGGGCGCUUGGCGUUUCGGUGGCGCAGCUAACGCGUUAAGUCAUCCGCCUGGGGAGUACGGCCGCAAGGUUAAAACUCAAAGAAAUUGACGGGGGCCUGCACAAGCGGUGGAGCAUGUGGUUUAAUUCGAAGCAACGCGCAGAACCUUACCAGCGUUUGACAUGGUAGGACGGUUUCCAGAGAUGGAUUCCUUCCCUUACGGGACCUACACACAGGUGCUGCAUGGCUGUCGUCAGCUCGUGUCGUGA